GGAUCUGAAUUUACAACAGCUGGAGGGAUGGGGUAGAGGGAAGGGAGACUCCUCUCCCACAAGUUAGUUAUCACUUUGAUUCUCCAGUUUUCAGACUCAAUUAAGUCUUGUUCUUAAGAUAACUCCUUUAGUUGUCUUUCUUCUUUUGUGAGAGGAGAGCUAGUUGGAUCUUGUCCCCCACUUUGGUUUUAAAGGUGUCUUUUAUGAGACAGGAAGUCCAUCAUCAAAACACGCACACUGAAGACAAGCAGGAGAGAAAGUGAGCCCAGACACCAUCUUAUAGCUAGUUUCAUGUUCUAUCCUCCCAAAACUAGCUGAAAGUCACCGCCGUAGAUGAUGCCGUCUGUUUGUUUUCAUUAUUUAAUAACUCUAGUAACCUCCAUAUUCUUAUUCUUCUGACUGAUUCUGUGCUACUGAUGUGAUGAAAGAAAGAUUACCUCCACGACCAUUUCCCUAUUGUUAAUACCCACUGGUCGGUUUUUUCAACUUGAAACAAUCCUAGAUGUAUCUUAGCAGAGAUCCCUAACUGGGAAACUGCCUCUAUCAGACUGGUUAGCAGAGAUCCCUAACUGGGAAACUGCCUCUAUCAGACUGGUUAGCAGGGAUUCCUAACUGGGAAACUGCCUCUAUCAGACUGGUUAGUAGGGAUUCCUAACUGGGAAACUGCCUCUAUCAGACUGGUUAGCAGGGAUCCCUAACUGGGAAACUGCCUCUAUCAGACUGGUUAGCAGAGAUUCCUAACUGGGAAACUGCCUCUAUCAGACUGGUUAGCAGGGAUCCCUAACUGGGAAACUGCCUCUAUCAGACUGGUUAGCAGGGAUCCCUAACUGGGAAACUCCCUCUAUCAGACUGGUUAGCAGAGAUUCCUAACUGGGAAACUGCCUCUAUCAGACUGGUUAGCAGAGAUUCCUAACUGGGAAACUGCCUCUAUCAGACUGGUUAGCAGAGAUUCCUAACUGGGAAACUGCCUCUAUCAGACUGGUUAGCAGGGAUUCCUAACUGGGAAACUGCCUCUAUCAGACUGGUUAGCAGAGAUUCCUAACUGGGAAACUGCCUCUAUCAGACUGGUUAGCAGGGAUUCCUAACUGGGAAACUGCCUCUAUCAGACUGGUUAGUAGGGAUUCCUAACUGGGAAACUGCCUCUAUCAGACUGGUUAGCAGGGAUCCCUAACUGGGAAACUGCCUCUAUCAGACUGGUUAGUAGGGAUUCCUAACUGGGAAACUGCCUCUAUCAGACUGGUUAGCAGAGAUUCCUAACUGGGAAACUGCCUCUAUCAGACUGGUUAGCAGAGAUUCCUAACUGGGAAACUGCUUCUAUCAGACUGGUUAGUAGGCAAGUAUGAACUACACUGUCUGGAUUAAUGACUGAUGUGAGCGAUGCCACCACUGGGCAGUUGGUUCCUAGGUGCUAGAAGAAAGCAGGCUGAGCAAGCCAUAAGCAGUGCUCUUCCACGGCCUCUGCCUGAGCUCCUGCCCUGACUUCCCUUCUGAUGGACUGUGAUCCAUCCUGGCACAGUGCAUAACAGCAACUGGAAAGAAAAAACUGCACCUAAAGACCUCAACACAGUUCUUGUCAGCGACACUGGAAAAACUACAGUCAGACAUGAACACUGUUGUGAAAGGAACAGAAAGCGGAACGAAGCUGCUAAAAAAUACCAUAUGGUUCCAAGACAUGCUAAGUACUUCAGGUAUGAAACAUAAACCUAUUUAAAUGUGGAAGAGUGAACAAAAACAGUCAAACACUCAGGAAGCAAGCAAGAACAGAAGCAAGUAGGAGUGCACUGUGGGGCAGGGCCUGGAGCUGCCCCCACUGUGCUUGGUAACUCUAAAGACACUUCACUUCAAGCCACCACAGCUCCUAGUACACAACAGCCAACAGUAAUGAACAACGCCAACACAGAACGAUUUCAUACCAAAGGCUUAGAGAAAAGGGUGACUUUUAAAGCAUGGAUAAAGACUGGUUUUAGCCAGAAUAGAACAGCGACACCCCCCACCCCCAGAGGAAGAGCAAAAAUAGGGAAAAGUUGAGGACGCCAUUUCUUAUCACUUUAUUUCUGGAAAAUGAGAAAUAGGAUCACCUGCUAAAAGUGGGCCAAGGGUUGGCUAGAUAAAAUGUUCUACAACAUAAGAAAGCAGUAAGUGAUAGAAAUGGUGCAGAAGUAAGACGGCUAGAGCCAAGAAGCACAUAACAAAAACACUGCCUAUCAAACUGGAGAAUGGAGUAGUUAACUUUAUAACUACAAGAACCAGAGUUUGGCUCUGACCACCCAUAUAAGUAAUCUUCCAAUGAAUAAAAUGUUUUAAAAUUUAAGCAAAUGUAUUUUAAAAUGAUCUGCCUCACCUAGAAUCCAGAGUGUAAAGUUUCAAGUGAAAAUAAAAAUGGUGCUGCGGUUCAAAUCAGACCUAACUCCCUGAAAAGUG